GGAAAGUCCAAAGAGGACAAUAUCUGCUAACGGUGCUAUAACAUCUGGUAGUGAAGAGUUAUUUAUACCUAACCUAAGUAUGUAUUUUAGUUGGUAUAGACACGGGGCAAUCUCUUCAUGUUUAUGAUGCUAUCAGGUUCGAACCUAACCUGGACAUAGAGAGUUGUAUUGCCAAUCAAUUCAUUCUCUUGAGUAAUAAAGCUACGACACCGUUUGGUAGUAAUCACUCGCAUGCAUCAAGGUGUUCCCUGGCUCGUUAGUUCUCCCUUCCAUGGUGUUAUCUACACUAUACAGCUAUGUCACAAGAUUUCGCAACCAUUCCUCUCCUUCCCUCUCGUUCUCAAUGUUUCUAUGUUUUUUGUUUUUGGUGGGCAGAACGAGGUUAGUUGGACUUAGUGAGAGGGGGACGGGCAUGUUCUUGGGAGAGGUUGCCCGAGAAUUCCGGUGAAUCGCUGGAAUUCUCAGAGAUGCCAACAACUAGUUAAUAUAUAUUUGUAACCGUUACAUUUGGUUUCUCUAAAAAAGU